GAACAAAAAAUGUGAAGGAUUUGCUUGAAGAUCUUGAAUUUAGGGAAAUUAAUGAUUUGAUGAUUUUGAAAUUUCUUGAGACCUAAUUCAUGCAAUCAUAGAAUUAAUUCACAAUCAAAUCAAAUCAAAUUAGAAAAAAUCUUAAAUUUGAUUGAAUUGAUUUGCCUUUCAAAUUGAAAGGAUUCAAUCACUAUAAACAGAUAGAACAAUCACGAGGAAGGGAGUGCCUAAUAGCAAUUCACUUCACAAUCAAUUCAGAGGCAAUUGAGAAUUCUUGGGCAAAGUUUUAUCAAACUGAGGCAAUUAGCGGCAACUCAGAGCCAAAAUCAGGGGUCAUAAGGCUAUCAAGAAUUCAAAACACCAAGCGGUCCUUAGUCUCCAUCACAGCGAGCCAACUGAGACCAAUCUUUACACAUCCGCACGAAGUCUGCAAGUCCAUCAAGCAGUGUCCACCCAUAAGCAAAAACAAAGAAAAGAUUAUACAAGGGCAAUCAAAGAGGAAGCCAUCGGCAAAACAGAGGGAGGAGCAAUUAACAGAGAAAAUAAUCAAGAAAGAUUAUUCAGCAAAGAAGCAAUUCUCAGCAAAUCCAAGCCAAAAAAGAAAAAAAAGCAAUUCAGCAUUAAGCCAACAAGCAAUUCUUAGGCAAUAAUCCAGAGCCUAAACCCAAAAAUCUCAUCCGGCGAUCAAUCAAUUCCCAGGAAGCCAGCAGCCUAGAAUCAACCCCAAAAGAGACACGAAAAAUCCUGGCAAACCAAACAGAGCAGAGGAAGCAUCAAAUAAUCCAGCAACCAAACACAAAAUCCAGAAAAUCCAUAUCCAGACACCAUCAAGCCAUAAACCUGCAAACAACUCCACAGACACCCACAAACACUAGACCAAAACCCAACAGAUCAAAUCACCAAUUUCCACUCAAGCCGAUCCUGCCAUCGUCCUUAAUCUCCUGCGAAACGGCCAACUCCUGUCAAUAAUUUAAAAAAAAAAAGUCAGAAACAAAAGAAGACCAUAAGUAAAGAACAUCAAAAUCGGCAGAGGAAGUUGAAUAAAGAAGUUGCUAGAAAUCCUUGGAGUUUCGGUUAGAACGAAGAAUCUACGUUGCUGAAGGAAAAAAACUGGUAGUGAUAGGCUGGUGAAGAAAGGCGGCGAACGAGCUUGGCGGCCAGCAGCCGGCAGCGACAACAGCGGCGACUCACUGGAUUCUGGAAAAGAACUGGUUAAUUUCUGUGUUUGAGAGCAGCAAAUUACAGAAAAGGGAGAAAUUUAGGGCUAGAGAGAGAAACAAAAAUGGGAAAAUGGAGGAAGUAGUCUGAUUUUUGGAUUAAAUAGAAAGGCAAAACGGCAUAGUUUUGGAUAGUAAGGAAUCUGGUUCCUUUCACCUAUCUAAGACCCGCGUUUUAUUUCUGAACCGACCCAGCCCAGUUGCGUCUGACCCAUUUCAGACCAAUUUCAGUAGAAUGCACCAGCUC
rnacentral:lncRNA from 1 species